AUUUUCCGUAGGACAUUUGCAAAGUGCUGCAUGGGCUGUCUUCAGCUCGUGCCGUGAGGUGUUGGGUUAAAUCCCGCAACAAGCGCAACCCUUAUCAUUAUUUGCCAACACGAAAGGUGGGAACUCUAAUGAGACUGCCUGGGUUAACCACGAGGAAGGUGAGGAUGACAUCAANUCCGCCUGGGCUUUAUAUCUGGGGCUACACACGUGCUACAAUGGUCGGUACAAAAGGCAGCAAGACCGCAAGGUGGAGCAAAUCCCUAAAGCCGAUCUCCGUUCAGAUUGUAGUCUGCAACUCCACUACAUGAAGUUGGAAUUGCUAGUAAUGACGUGUCAACAAUAACGUCGUGAAUACGUUCCCGGGUCUUGUACACACCG
rnacentral:rRNA from 1 species